GUGCCAGCCGCCGCGGUAAUACGAAGGAUGCGAGCGUUAUCCGGAUUUAUUGGGUUUAAAGGGUGCGUAGGCGGUCUUAUAAGUCAGUGGUGAAAUCUUGUCGCUUAACGACAAACGUGCCAUUGAUACUGUAGGACUUGAGUACAGAUGCCGUUGGCGGAAUGUGUCAUGUAGCGGUGAAAUGCAUAGAUAUGACACAGAACACCGAUUGCGAAGGCAGCUGACGAAACUGUAACUGACGCUGAUGCACGAAAGCGUGGGGAUCAAACAGGAUUAGAAACCCUGGUAGUCC
rnacentral:rRNA from 1 species